ACAAAUGUAUAAUUUUGUAAUUGUUUAUUUAUUUAAUUUUACAAAUUGUUAUCAAACAGCUCAGGCUAAUGAAGAAGAGUUUGAUUAUACAGAAGUAACAUUUAUUCCACAAAGAGCUCCGGACGCUGAGGCUAAUGGAUGGGAUCAGAUGGUGUAUUCAGAAGUUGUGUUAAGAUGUUGGUAGGAUGAUAUACCAUAAUCUCAAUGAUAACAGGAUGUGCCUCUUUUUUCAGGUGAUUUUCAGGGGCUCAUACAUGUACAACUAGAUCAAAUGUGUUCUAUUCUGUGAUAACCUGCAAAUGUUACCUUAUAGAGUCCAUCAAAUUGUUUGCUUGCACAAAUGUUUUUUUUUUUUUUUUUCUGUUAAUAUGAAGGAAUUUUCUGUAUUUGUGAUGUUAAAAUAUAUUUAAUAAAACCAGAUAAUUUAGAUGCUA